GGUGAGUAACGCGUUGGUGACCUGCCCCAAAGUGUGGGAUAACAGUCCGAAAGGAUUGCUAAUACCUCAUGUGGCCAUCGGGUUUAGAAACCGAUGUCUAAAGCAGCAAUGCGCUUUGGGAUGGACCUGCGUCCCAUCAGCUAGUUGGUGAGGUAACGGCUCACCAAGGCGACGACGGGUAGGGGGCCUGAGAGGGUGCCCCCCACAAUGGAACUGAAACACGGUCCAUACACCUACGGGUGGCAGCAGUAGGGAAUAUUGCACAAUGGGCGAAAGCCUGAUGCAGCAACGCCGCGUGAGCGAUGAAGGCCUUCGGGUCGUAAAGCUCUUUUCUGGGAGAUGAGAAAGGACAGUAUCCCAGGAAUAAGUCUCGGCUAACUACGUGCCAGCAGCCGCGGUAAAACGUAGGAGGCAAGCGUUAUCCGGAUUCACUGGGCGUAAAGCGCGUGCAGGCGGUUUGGUAAGUUGGGCGUGAAAUCUCCCGGCUCAACUGGGAGGGGUCGUUCAAAACUACCAGACUCGAGAGCGAUAGAGGAAAAUGGAAUUCCCGGUGUAGUGGUGAAAUGCGUAGAUAUCGGGAGGAACACCAGUGGCGAAAGCGAUUUUCUGGAUCGUUUCUGACGCUCAGACGCGAAAGCUAGGGUAGCAAACGGGAUUAGAGACCCCGGUAGUCCUAGCUGUAAACGAUGUGAACUUGGCGUCGGUGGCUUAAACACCAUCGGUGCUGCAGCUAACGCGAUAAGUAUACCGCCUGGGGACUACGAUCGCAAGAUU
rnacentral:rRNA from 1 species